rnacentral:rRNA from 1 species
GACGAACGCUGGCGGCGUGCCUAAUACAUGCAAGUUGAGCGAUGAAGAUUGGUGCUUGCACCAAUUUGAAGAGCAGCGAACGGGUGAGUAACGCGUGGGGAAUCUGCCUUUGAGCGGGGGACAACAUUUGGAAACGAAUGCUAAUACCGCAUAAUAACUUUAAACAUAAGUUUUAAGUUUGAAAGAUGCAAUUGCAUCACUCAAAGAUGAUCCCGCGUUGUAUUAGCUAGUUGGUGAGGUAAAGGCUCACCAAGGCGAUGAUACAUAGCCGACCUGAGAGGGUGAUCGGCCACAUUGGGACUGAGACACGGCCCAAACUCCUACGGGAGGCAGCAGUAGGGAAUCUUCGGCAAUGGACGAAAGUCUGACCGAGCAACGCCGCGUGAGUGAAGAAUGUUUUCGGAUCGUAAAACUCUGUUGGUAGAGAAGAACGUUGGUGAGAGUGGAAAGCUCAUCAAGUGACGGUAACUACCCAGAAAGGGACGGCUAACUACGUG